UUACGGCCAUAUCACGUUGAAACACCUUUUCACGUACAAUCACCGAAGUUAAGCAACGCCGAACUUGGUCAGUACCUUAAUGGACGACGGCUUGAGAACACCAGGUGCUGUAAG